rnacentral:lncRNA from 1 species
CACUGCCGUCCGCCGGUGACAUUUCGGCCACAGGCGCCGACCCCGAGGCCAUUGCCCACGGUACGCUGUCGUCUGUCGACAGGGUCGGGUCACUGGCUAGAGGCACCGUCGGCAACGGCACCAGCGGCGGCGCCAAUCGAGACGGCAACACGCAAAAGGCAGCGACGAGGGUCCACGCGCAUGAUGCCACCAACAACCCGCCGCAUAGGACGGCGGUCCAGUCGAAAAAGGCCGCUGGAUGCGUGGCGGCGGGCGCCAGCAAGAGGACGCCGAGACCGGCCACGUAGGCCGGCACCUGGCAGACGACAUUGACCAGCAGGGGGUCGACGGGCAUGUGCGACGCGCCCAUGAGGCGCUCAAAGACGAUGCCGCCGCCGCUAAAGGGCACCAGGGCGAAAAAGUGGCCCACGCCGCCGACCACGAGAAAGGCCAGCGGCGACAGCCAGCCCAUGAGUGAUGUCGCACCGGUGGCGACCAACACCGCCGCCGCAACAACGCCAACGACGCCGAUGGCCGUAAAGGCUCGCCGGUUGUCCUUGACCCAGAGGAGGGGCACAUAGCAGAGGCAUGCGGCGACACACGCGGGCGCGUCGGCAACGACCGAGUGCCACCACGGGGCGUCGGGUCCAACAAGGUCGGCCGUAAAGACGUCGCGCACGGCACCGAGGCCCUGGAGGGCGGCGUUGCUCACGGCCAGGCCCACAAUGACGGCCCAGUGGCGCCGAAACCAGGCGCUAUUCACCGUGUUUGCCAGUGCCUUGGCAUCCAAAAGGAUCCUGGUUGCGUCGUCGCCGUUGUCCUUGCACGGGGGUCUGGAUGUUGACGCCGCAGUUGACCGCGCGUGCACGUCGGCCUGGUUGGGUGGGGGCGUCAAGGCCAGGGCCAGGGCCGCCACCAGUGUGGGCACCACACAGAGGGCGCUCACGGCCAGCGGCAUCCACAGGUGGCCGUCGCUGUCGCUGCCGUCGCCGACGCCCGCCAGCAGGUCCGCGAUGCCGGUCGACAAGGGGCGCGAGACGGCCGGCGCCAACAAAAUGGCCAGUGUGGCGACGGGCAUGGCGACGUUGGACGCGCGCCGACCCUGCGCAUAGGCCAGGUAGGCGCAAAAGGCCAACGAAAUAACCGCCGUGCCGGCAAAGCGCGCCGCCAACUGAACGGCGACACCCGUAGUGGUGUCGGCACCCAUGGCAAAGGCCGCGUUGGGCACGAUGCUAUAGACCAACGGCAGCGCAAACAGUGACACGGGCCGGCGCCAACCGUCGACGGCCGCGCGACGGAGGGGUCCAUAGAGGGCCGCGGCAAACCCGACGGGCAUGGCGGCGGCCCUCGCGAUCGACAACAGGGCCUUGGUCGUGUAGGGGCCGCCGCCCGGCCGGUCGUCAAUCUCGACAGUGAGGGCAAACACGGCCAGGCCGGGCACGAGGGCCGCCAUCCAGUAGGCGGCUGCAGCCGCCGACAACCACGCCGCCAUAAUGCCCAGAUGGUUGCCGGCCUUGUUGCGCGUGCGUGCGCACCAUGCGCGCACGCCCCACGGCCCUCGUGCCAUCGUAUCGUCAUCGCUGAAAAACGGCACAUUCUCGUCGUCUUUGUCAUCGUGAUCAUCGUGGCUAUUAGGAUCGUCAACGUCGUUGGUUUGAUCGCCAUUGUUCAUGUGUUCAUCGCUAGACCAUCGCGACAGGAUGCGCGCACGGCCGCGCAACAAGGGCGAUGUCAUUCUCGGCCGUCUUGUGUACGUGCGCUGUCUUUUCCUGCGGUUGCUAUGCACCGACGGGCGCGAUUUCUCCUCCUUUUAUCUUUUUCCGCCAGAGCCCGAUGCCACGGCGUGCGCCCGAGUUCAAGGCCAAUGUCGCGUCGGCCCUUUUUUCCCUUGAACACCCGACCGCUCGCGCGUCGCCGCCCCUUGAUCGCCCUUUCGCGGCGGCAUCACUGCAGACACCGUCGGGCGGGCGGGCGGUCGGGCGCUCCUCCUGCCGUGAGGGUUUUUUCAUGUGUGACAAACUUUUCUCUUUUUCCCAUCAAAAUUACCUUUUUUUUCA